UACAGAGGUCCCAAGCGUUGUUCGGAUUCAUUGGGCGUAAAGGGUGCGUAGGCGGCGCGGUAAGUCGGGUGUGAAAUCUUGGAGCUUAACUCCGAAACUGCAUUCGAUACUGCCGUGCUUGAGGACUGGAGAGGAGGCUGGAAUUUACGGUGUAGCGGUGAAAUGCGUAGAUAUCGUAAGGAAGACCAGUGGCGAAGGCGGGUCUCUGGACAGUUCCUGACGCUGAGGCACGAAGGCCAGGGGAGCAAACGGG
rnacentral:rRNA from 1 species